UACGAAGGGGGUUAGCGUUGUUCGGAAUUACUGGGCGUAAAGCGCACGUAGGCGGGUCUGUAAGUAGAGGGUGAAAUCCCAGGGCUCAACCCUGGAACUGCCUUCUAGACUGCAGGCCUCGAGGUCAGGAGAGGCGAGUGGAAUACCGAGUGUAGAGGUGAAAUUCGUAGAUAUUCGGUGGAACACCAGUGGCGAAGGCGACUCGCUGGACUGAUACUGACGCUGAGGUGCGAAAGCGUGGGGAGCAAACAGG
rnacentral:rRNA from 1 species